rnacentral:rRNA from 1 species
UACGUAGGGGGCGAGCGUUGUCCGGAUUUAUUGGGCGUAAAGAGCGUGUAGGCGGUUCGGUAAGUCUGUCGUGAAAUCCUGAGGCUCAACCUCGGGCGUGCGAUGGAUACUGCCGGGCUAGAGGGUGGUAGAGGCGAGUGGAAUUCCUGGUGUAGCGGUGAAAUGCGCAGAUAUCAGGAAGAACACCCGUGGCGAAGGCGGCUCUCUGGUACGUGACUGACGCUGAGACGCGAAAGCGUGGGGAGCGAACAGG